rnacentral:rRNA from 1 species
AACCAGACUCCUACGGGAGGCAGCAGUGGGGAAUAUUGCACAAUGGGGGGAACCCUGAUGCAGCAACGCCGCGUGGGUGAAGAAGUAUUUCGGUAUGUAAAGCCCUAUCAGCAGGGAAGAAGAUGACGGUACCUGACUAAGAAGCCCCGGCUAAAUACGUGCCAGCAGCCGCGGUAAUACGUAGGGGGCAAGCGUUAUCCGGAUUUACUGGGUGUAAAGGGAGCGUAGACGGCAGCGCAAGUCCGAAGUGAAAGCCCGGGGCCCAACCCCGGGACUGCUUUGGAAACUGUGAAGCUGGAGUGCGGGAGGGGCAGGCGGAAUUCCUGGUGUAGCGGUGAAAUGCGUAGAUAUCAGGAGGAACACCGGCGGCGAAGGCGGCCUGCUGGACCGUAACUGACGUUGAGGCUCGAAAGCGUGGGGAGCAAACAGGAUUAGAUACCCCAGUAC